rnacentral:sRNA from 1 species
UGUAGUUGUCCAUUUUACCAAUCAUGGCUUUGCUCGGCGUCAGUCAUCUUUAGAAAAAAUAUUGGACUUCUCGCAACCGUUCUCGUUAACGUCUCAACAACGUCAAACAGCAGCAACUCUUUUCAGUAGCCUGAUCCAGCAUUUUGGCCAGGGGCAGACUAUACAGCCAUGUUACCAACUGUGGUUUUCUUCAAGCAACACUGCUGGAGUCAUUUGACAUCGAGAGUAGUCUCCUUGACCCCAUAAUGUUUGGGAGGAGGAAGAUUGUCAUAAGAUUAUCAUCUUCUGCUAUCUCCAUAUCACUGUCAUCACUAUCCUCACUCUCCUUGUUGUUAGUCUCCCUGGUCCCGUCGGUAUUAUCGUCGCUGGGGUCUGAAAACACGUCAUUGGCAUAGUCAAACCCGCUGUUGGGGAACUUGCUACUGUUAGCUUCAUGGGAAGCAGGCAUGCUGGAAGUCAGGCAAGAAGGAGCCUCGCUGACGAUGCUGAGGGAUCAGACACUGGACGGAUGAGGAUAAAAUGCAGAACAGGGGAAAGAUGAGAGGAGGAAUGAUAGUGUGAUAUGGAAACGACAACAAGCUGGAAGAAUUAAUUGAUGAGACAUGCGGAUGCAUCUGGAGUGAAAUGAGAAAGAAAGGGAUCCAUUUGAGUCUCCCGGCACGAAAAGAGGGUGGCCCCUAGCUUGGUGUGAGGAAGGGUGGUGAGAGGUCUAUGAAAAACCAAUUCCGAUAAUCGUCUUAUAUAUCUAGCGGAUAUCUAAUGGGUACGCGCGCGCAACCAUCUCAAGAGUAGUGGUUUCUUAUAAUAUAAUGAUCGUUCAUCC